rnacentral:rRNA from 1 species
ACGGAAGGCAGCAGUGGGGAAUAUUGGGCAAUGGGCGAAAGCCUGACCCAGCAACGCCGCGUGAAGGAAGAAGGUCUUCGGAUUGUAAACUUCUUUUAUCAGGGACGAAGGAAGUGUCGGUACCUGAUGAAUAAGCCACGGCUAACUACGUGCCAGCAGCCGCGGUAAUACGUAGGUGGCAAGCGUUAUCCGGAUUUACUGGGUGUAAAGGGCGCGUAGGCGGGGAUGCAAGUCAGAUGUGAAAUCUAUGGGCUUAACUCAUAAACUGCAUUUGAAACUGUAUCUCUUGAGUGCUGGAGAGGUAGAUGGAAUUCCUUGUGUAGCGGUGAAAUGCGUAGAUAUAAGGAAGAACACCAGUGGCGAAGGCGAUCUACUGGACAGUAACUGACGCUGAGGCGCGAGAGCGUGGGGAGUAAACAGGAUUAGAUACCCUGGUA